rnacentral:lncRNA from 1 species
AUGUCUGUGGUGUGUGUCCCCUCCUUGCACAUGUGUGUGCAUGUGCUCCCCCACACACAUCUGUGUGCUCACACACCCCAUUUGAAUGCACAGCACUCUGCACGCAUACAGGACAUGUUCUCCUUCAGGCACACACUCCUUGUGCCCCCUUGCACACACAUGUGCUCUUCAUUGCACACACACCUUUUAAUGUGCACGGUCCCCUUGAACACACGUGCUCUUCGUUGCACACAUGCCCUGCUCACACAUACAUGCUCUUCAUUGCACACACACUCUUUAACCCACAUGAUCCCCUUGCACACACACAUGCUCCCCUUUGCACAGACCCCAUCUUGCACCCCCAAGUGCCUUCCCAUUGUGCGCACACUCCCCUUGCACACGCGCUCCCCUUUGCACACUCAUCUGCACACACAUGCCCGCUUUUGCACCCACCCGCGCCCCCUCACACCCCAUCCUUGCAUGCGCUCUCCCCCUUGCAUGCGCCCCCUUGCACACCCCCUCGCACACCCAAGCGCCUCCCCCCCUCGCACACCCGCCCUCCCGCGCCUCUUGAGCAAUAACGCUGGGAUUAAUAAAGCCGCGGAGCCCUCCCCUAAUCGACUCCAGCUGCAAAAACAUUCCCCGCAUUCAGAGGCGGCUCUGUCUCCGGAGCCGCCGCUCGCUGCCCAGGCCAGGCCGAAUUCCUGCCCCGGCCCCCGCGCCCUCCUCCCCGCGGGACAGCUGCGCCGGAACAGCCCGCGCGGCCGCGGCCACCCCGGGGAGCGGGAGGGGGACAGGGCAGGGACGAGGGUCCUGGAGCAGGGGGGGGCAGCACGGUCCCAGUGGGCACGGGGAGGGAGGUGGGGUGCCAUGCCACCGUCCUGUGUCCAGCUGUCCCAUGUUUGUGCACCCUAUGACCUCCUGUCCCAUGGACACUCAUCCCAUGUUCACCCACCCCUGUGCAUCCAUCCCACGUUCUCUAGACGGGGUUCUGGAUGGAGGUGGGGUGUCAUAUCCACCCACCCAUGUCCACCCAUCCCGUGUCGUGUCUGCCCAUCCCAUGUCCACUCAUCUGUGUCACUCCAUCCCAUGUCCCUCCGUCCCACUUCCAUCCAUCCCAUGUCUACCCUUCCCUUCUCCAUCCAUCCCACCUUCUCCAGGAGGGCUGUUGGGAUGAAGAAGGGGCACCACAUCUGCUUGUCCCGAGUCCUCAAGGCAAGGCACAGAGAAGGAGACCGAGCAUCACACCACCUUGUCCCGGGGGCUCCAGGAGGGUGUUGGGGUGGAGGCAGCCCUGUGCCCUCCUGCCCUACACCCUCCAGGGCCAGGGUCCCACUCCCACCGGUCCCACUUUGUUCAGGCAGGGCAGUGGGAUGGGGACGGUGUCCCUGUAGGAUAGUGUCUCAACCCUCAUUAGGGAGGUCCCUAAUUACUAGGGGUGCAUGA